GGAUAGAUGUCCGAGUGGUUGAAGGAGCACGCCUGGAAAGCGUGUGUAGGGGCAACUCUACCGGGGGUUCGAAUCCCCCUCUAUCCGCCA
rnacentral:tRNA from 1 species